UAUGAUUACAUCUAUCAACCGUGAGGUAGAAGGACAGAGGGAAGGUCAGGCUGCAUUAGGUGUGAAGGAUCACAUUCAGGUGGAGAAAGACCAGCUGAGGGACUCUACAGCCCAGGGACCCGUUUCAUAAAAACCAAGAACUAUCGUAACUUUGUCAUUAUGGCAACAUGGCUGAGCGGCCAAUCAUAAUCAAGGUUACCAUGUUUAGUUAAGGCAACUUUGCGAUAGUUGUCUUUAUGAAAUGGGCCCCUGGAGGGCCAUCGCAACGGACAGAGGGAUUCUUAGCAAGAGGAAUUAUUCAAGCUACAGCUACACAGUGACGGAGGGAUUCUAUCUCUGCAAGAGGAACUGAUCAAACUACAGCAACGUGUACAGCAUCGACCCACCACUUAGGACUGUGAGAGAAUGAAUGGAGGAAAUAAAGAUGAAUGAUGAGGAGAAAAGCCUUGGAGAAUUGAGGAGAAAGAAGGAUGAACUAUGGACACCUAUUAGCUUUGGACUCGUACCACAAAGAUUUCACUGUCAGCUGGGAGCAAGCUGAUCCAAGAUGAACCAAGAAGUCAAUGGAUUGAUCAAAGCUUUCCAAUCUUAUUGUCAAGUAAAAACAUGGUUAUUGAAGCCUAAAUCAUGGUAUAGAAAUUAUUCUAGGGACUGUCAUUUGAGGUAACAAAUUUAGUAUUCUCAGAUGAAUUUUCUCCUUUUGUAAAACUUCAUGCUUCUAACUUUUUUCAAAAGUCUACUCUGCUGCCACAAAUUAAUUUGCAUAAUGCAGACAAGACUGCCAUCAUAGGCAUUCCUCUUGACUAUUUUAUAAUACAGGGGAUUGCUGUCACAUAUAUUGAAAUUAAUGAACAAGCAUCAGUUUAAACUUUAUGUCAGUUUAUCCUAAGACUUUGAGUUUCAAAUAUUUGACAUGCCUAUGCACUGUUAAUCAUGAUC